CCUCACACAGCUACCCCUCCACCACCACACACUCGCUCUCGUUUCCAGCCCCAAUUUUCCUCUUUGCCCGGUCCUGGCCGCAGCCCUGAUCUGCUCUGUGAACCCUUGACAGAGGGAGUAUUUCCUGAACAUGAGCUGUUUCACUUUCAGUUUGCACCCCCUUCAUUUCCCUCCCACCUCCAAGCUGCCUCCAUCACCUUGGACGGGAGUGCCCCUCCUCCCAUCCCUAGGGAGGGUACAGCCCACCCUGGGCCAGGCAGAGUGGCUCCUCCUCCCUGGGAAGGCCUGGGUAGCCUCCCUCAUCCCCUCCCUCUCAGGCCUGGGGCCAUUUUCAAAAGUGUCCCAAGGGCUCUCCGGAGAAGGGGUGGAGAAGGCUGGACCAACAGUGUACUCAGCUCUCCACCCCUGCGCUCUCCAGGCAGGGCCAGGGACAAGACAGACCCUCCCUCCUCCACCUCUGGGAGCUCUUCAAAACAGACCUUUGCCUGGCACACCCCCCAUCCCGGUAUCUUCUUCCGGAGCAAGAGGCCCUUGCUUCUUCUUUUGUCCCCAAAAGAAGGCCAAGAUUCACACCCAGGGACUGCACCCCGGCAUCCAGGGCCCUAGGAGGGGUGGCCACAGCAUUGCCCUCAGCACCCCAGGAAACGGGCCAGAGGAUGACGACUGCAUCUGCACCUCCCUUUCUCACCACUCCAGGGCUCACUGCCAGGGACCUGAUGGAGCCUCAGAACCGCCCCAGGACCAGAAGCCUAUGCUGACCUGGGCCUACCCCCGCCCCCAUCUAAGUGGCCUGCCGUCUGGUAAGGGGAAUCUCCCGCACCCAAGCAACUGGGCUUGCUAGGCCCUGGAUGUUCCCCAGCGGAAAUGCCUUGUUGAGCUGAAAACUCAGUCUAGGGUUCCUGGGGCAGCAGGAAGCACCGCACCCAGGGCCAGAGCGUGAGGGGAAGCUGUCUGAGGGGCAGCCAAGAGGCAGCCUGGCUGGAUUAGGCUCCUAGCAGAGGUUGGUAAGCCUUCCCCUCCCCACCCAGCCCCCAGUGGGCUCCCUGCCCCACCCUAGGCCUUGUGUUGCCCAGAGCGGGGAGAAUAGGCUGGACCCUCCCGGCUUACCU